GAUGAACGCUGGCGGCGUGCCUAAUACAUGCAAGUCGAGCGAACGGACGAGAAGCUUGCUUCUCUGAUGUUAGCGGCGGACGGGUGAGUAACACGUGGAUAACCUACCUAUAAGACUGGGAUAACUUCGGGAAACCGGAGCUAAUACCGGAUAAUAUUUUGAACCGCAUGGUUCAAAAGUGAAAGACGGUCUUGCUGUCACUUAUAGAUGGAUCCGCGCUGCAUUAGCUAGUUGGUAAGGUAACGGCUUACCAAGGCAACGAUGCAUAGCCGACCUGAGAGGGUGAUCGGCCACACGAGAACUGAGACACGGUCCAGACUCCUACGGGAGGCAGCAGUAGGGAAUCUUACGCAAUGGGCGAAAGCAUUACGGAGCAACGCCGCGUGAGUGAUGAAGGUCUUCGGAUCGUAAAACUCUGUUAUUAGGGAAGAACAUAUGUGUGAGGAACUGUGCACAUCUUGACGGUACCUAAACAGAAAGCCACGGCUAACUACGUG
rnacentral:rRNA from 1 species